AGUCGGCUGACGAGUCCCAAAUAGGACGAAGUGCGCAUCCAAGGU
rnacentral:hammerhead_ribozyme from 1 species